UACGUAGGGGGCAAGCGUUUGUCCGGAAUUAUUGGGCGUAAAGCGCGCGCAGGCGGCUUUGUAAGUCUGGUGUUUAAACCUAGGGCUCAACCCUGGGUCGCAUUGGAAACUGCAAGGCUUGAGUGCAGAAGAGGAGAGUGGAAUUCCACGUGUAGCGGUGAAAUGCGUUAGAGAUGUGGAGGAACACCAGUGGCGAAGGCGACUCUCUGGGCUGUAACUGACGCUGAGGCGCGAAAGCCAGGGGAGCGAACAGG
rnacentral:rRNA from 1 species